UACGUAGGUGGCGAGCGUUGUCCGGAAUUAUUGGGCGUAAAGCGCGCGCAGGUGGGAUAGUAAGUCUUUUGUAAAAGUGCGGGGCUCAACCCCGUAAUGCGACGGAUACUGCUAUUCUUGAGUGCAGGAGAGGAAAGCGGAAUUCCCAGUGUAGCGGUGAAAUGCGUAGAUAUUGGGAGGAACACCAGUGGCGAAGGCGGCUUUCUGGACUGUGUCUGACACUGAGGCGCGAAAGCCAGGGGAGCGAACGGG
rnacentral:rRNA from 1 species